GAAGAAAAAAACCUAGGGAGAAGUUGAUUGUCGGCUGGGAAUAAAAUUGGAAGAGAGAAUAACCUAUAGAAGGAGAAAAGGGCAGCCAAAUUGGGAAAAUAUAUACACAUGUAACCGGGCUGCUUUUGAGGAGAAAUAGAGUUACUGUUGGGAAGUAAUAUUCGGUUGAUUUGGGAUAUCUUCUUGGAGAUUAUUACUUGCGAACUGAGGAAGACGGCAGAAAAAACAAGAGGAAAAGACUGCUGGAAGAGAAGAAAAAUAGGGCUGCCAAUUGGUUGAAAUUAUACAUACAACUGUGUGGCUUUGGUUGAUUUUUACAUAUAUACACAACACCCAUAAUUGGCAGGCAGAAGAAGACAAAUGAGCAAUUGAAUUGAAUUGUUAUAUAUAUAUAUAUAUAUAU
rnacentral:lncRNA from 1 species